rnacentral:lncRNA from 1 species
UCCCCCCAGCCUGGCUGCUGAGCCCUGUCUCCCCAGUGGUUCUUUUCUCUACGCAUCUCUGAAUGUGACUGCUUUAGGGUGAAUCUCCUCCUUCUUGUUCCACCCACCUGCCAAUUUGUGUUAUGCUCCUGAUGUUGACAGCUUGCCUGGACCACUUCCUUUCUCUAUAGCCUUGAACCCUGCAGACACUGGAUUCUGCCUCUUGGGCUGAACUUCUUCUUGAGGCCUCUCCAUUGGGUGGCUCUGUCUUUCCUAGGCUUCCUCAUCUUGAUGCAAGGAAGAAGGUACACACUUGGCCAUGCAUGGUCUGAGAUGUAACAAUUAGUUUUAGGAAGUGCCUACUUCUGUGAGCAAAUAAUCAAUUACCUGUCAUAGCAGCCACUCUUUCCUGAAACUGCCUUCCAACCAGGUGUGCAGUUUCUGAAAUUCUACCAAUGGCUUUACUUCCUCCAGGUGUCUUCUGGAGGAGUAAGGAACCGUGACCAGACAGACACAAAUACAUAUGGCCAUUAGUAAUAUCAUUACCAAGCUAACUACAGGAAUCCAGGGCAGUAUGCAGGCAUAAGAGGUCCAGGAAGAGCAGAACAGAAGACAGUUGUGUGGAGAGCAAGUGAAGAGAGGCACUGAAGACAAACUCUCCCAUCCUUCUGACUUUACCUGGUCCCAGUCCUGGGAGGUGGAACUGAUGGGAUUAAUAAGAAACCAGGCAUGAGAAGCCAUGCAGAUGUAAAUUUGGAAAUCAACAUAUUGAUAGUUGGAGUCACUGGAGUAGGAUGUCUGCCAGCUCCUCUCCAGCCACCCAUUCUCAUAGCGGGUGAGCCAGACCACAUCUGCUAAUCCAGGAGCACAGCUCAGGACUAGUCUAUGCGGAUGGAAUCUCUCUCCAGCCUUUUCUCUAUGUCAGUUUUAUCUACCUGGCAAGAAAAAACAAAAACAACCCCAAAACAACCCCUCCCCACAAACACAACACAAAACAAGGGACUCGAAAAGUUGGAGAAAACCUUUUAAUGUGUUUCUGUAAAAUCCUUUCUUAGGAGGUUUAGUACAGGUACUACCCAUCAGCAACUUAGCCGGCCAGGUGAGUUGGUGCAGAAGGGCUUCGGCUGAAUUUAUACCAGAGCCAUCGGGAGUGACUUGGCCACCUCUCCCAAUUACCACAAGGAAGUCUUAAAAUUGAAUUUCAGUUUCAGCAGAUACUUCAGAUUUACCUGAGCAAUAUCAUAGACAAUGUACUCAUUAUAUAGUAGACAAGUGUCAUUCACACCAGAUGAAAUCCCAGUCCCAAGAGGAACCUCUGCACCAUCCAGAGUAAUACUAGCUGAAGGGUCAGGGGUAGUUUUGCCCAAACCUUUGACACUGUGCUUGCCCUUGGGUAACUUGCUGAUAUGUGAAGCGUGCUUCAGUUCAUACAUUUUCCAAGGGCAACUUCUCCCAACAGGAUUAAGCCUGUUGGGCCUCCCUGAGAUGUAUGGCAGUAGUUGGCACUCUUGGAGGCCAUGUCAGCGAAAUAGAUCCCUUUACCAAACAUGUAGCCCGUCAUGGGCACUUCAGGCGGGGCUAUCCAAAGACCCUGGGACAGGAUCCCAGCAAAGCUGGUGGUUGUGGACCCGGGGCAUGGGCCUUUCUAUC